rnacentral:rRNA from 1 species
AUUGAACGCUGGCGGCAGGCCUAACACAUGCAAGUCGAACGAGUGGCGGACGGGUGAGUAAUGUCUGGGAAACUGCCUGAUGGAGGGGGAUCACUACUGGAAACGGUAGCUAAUAACGCCUACCAUCCGAUGUGCCCAGCUGGGAUUAGCUUGUUGGUGGGGUAACGGCUCACCAAGGCGACGAUCCCUCGCUGGUCCGAAGGGCUGACGGCCCACACGGGAAUGGAGACACGGUCCGAACUCCUAGGGGAGGCAGCAGUGGGGAAUAUUGCACAAGGGGGGAAAGCCGGAGGCAGCCAGGCCGGUGGGAUGAAGAAGGCCUUGGGGUUGUAAAGUACUUUCAGCGGGGAGGCGUUACUCGCAGAAGAAGCACCGGCUAACUCCGUGCCAGCAGCCGCGGUAAUUC